ACCCUCCAGUUCCCUUUCCCAUCGGAUCAGAACACUGGCCUGGGUGGUCGUAAAAGAAGGAAAGAAACUGGGAGCUGUCCCUCAGUGCUCUUGGAGCUCGGGCUAGUUCAAACAGNN
rnacentral:snoRNA from 1 species